rnacentral:rRNA from 1 species
GUGGGGAAUAUUGGGCAAUGGGCGCAAGCCUGACCCAGCAACGCCGCGUGAAGGAAGAAGGCUUUCGGGUUGUAAACUUCUUUUACCAGGGACGAAACAAAUGACGGUACCUGGUGAAUAAGCCACGGCUAACUACGUGCCAGCAGCCGCGGUAAUACGUAGGUGGCGAGCGUUAUCCGGAUUUAUUGGGUGUAAAGGGCGUGUAGGUGGGACAGCAAGUCAGAUGUGAAAACCAGAGGCUCAACCUCUGGCCUGCAUUUGAAACUGUUGUUCUUGAGUGUCGGAGAGGUAAUCGGAAUUCCGUGUGUAGCGGUGAAAUGCGUAGAUAUACGGAGGAACACCAGUGGCGAAGGCGGAUUACUGGACGAUAACUGACGCUGAGGCGCGAAAGCCAGGGGAGCAAACGGGAUUAGAUACCCGGGUAGUCC